rnacentral:rRNA from 1 species
GGCAACGACCACACUACGUUGAAAACACCAGUUCUCGUCCGAUCACUGAAGUUAAGCAACGUCGGGCGCGGUUAGUACUUGGAUGGGUGACCGCCUGGGAACCCCGCGUGUUGUUGCCUUUU